CGCGAGAGCGGAGGAAGCCCCACCGCCGACCCCAUCGCGCGCUCGCGGAAGCGUCGUCCCUCCUCCGCUGCCUCCCCCCUCCCCUCCCAUAGCCCCCCACAUUCAGCGAAGCUAUCUCAGUCCCGGUCUCCCCGUCAAGAUCACAGGCACAGCAAUCGUUCGAGGUCGAUCCCAAUCUUGGCGUCGCUGACCUGUCGUCGUGGUCCUAGUGGUGGCGGUGGACGUGACGGAGUGUGAGUAGUGCUUAUGGUCUCUAUGAUGAGGCUCGUGAGUCGUUGCUGGAAGCCGGCGGUAGAGGUUCGGGAUGGUGGAUCAGUCAGCGGCGACGAUCGCCUCCUUUGGUACAAGAAUCUCGGCCACCAUGCGGUCGGGGAGUUCUCUAUGGCGGUGGCGCAGGCGAAUGCUCUGUUGGAGGAUGGAAGCCAGAUCGAGUCGGGCCCCUUGAGCUGGAGGGAGGACACGCGUGGCACGUUCGUCGGGGUCUACGACGGGCACGGCGGGCCGGAGACGUCGCGGUACAUAACGGAGCGUUUAUUUGCUAACCUCAAAAGGUUUGCUUCAGAACAUGAAGGUAUUUCAGUAGAUGUCAUAAGGAAGGCAUUUUCAGCCACGGAAGAGGGUUUCAUCUCUACUGUUAGAAAGCAGUGGCUCAAUAAACCACAGAUUGCCUCGGUUGGUUCGUGUUGUUUGGUUGGUAUUGUAUCUAGCGGGAUGCUCUAUGUGGCAAAUGUUGGAGAUUCACGUGCAGUACUAGGAAGAAUUGAGAGAGGUAUUAGAGAUGUUACGGCAGUACAAAUGUCUGCAGAACACAAUGCGAGCUUUGAAGCUGUGAGGGAGGAAUUGCAUUCAUUGCAUCCCGAUGACCCACAGAUUGUUGUUUUGAAGCAUAAGGUUUGGCGUGUGAAAGGUCUUAUACAGGUUUCUAGAUCCAUCGGAGAUGCAUAUCUAAAAGAUACAGAGUUCAACCGUGAGCCAUUGAUAUCCAGAUUCCGACUUCCUGAUCCCUUCCAUAAGCCGAUCCUUAGUCAUGAACCAUCAAUAGUAACACAUAAACUCUCUCCUGAAGAUCAAUUUUUGAUUUUUGCAUCAGAUGGUCUAUGGGAGCAUUUCAGCAAUCAAGAGGUUGUGGAUAUGAUUCACAACUCACCGCGUAAUGGUAUUGCAAGAAAACUUGUGAAAGCUGCACUGCAAGAGGCUGCAAAGAAAAGAGAAAUGAGGUACGCUGACCUCACAAAGAUUGAUCGUGGAGUUAGGAGGCAUUUCCAUGAUGAUAUAACUGCCAUAGUUAUAUUUCUUGAUCCUAAUCUGAUAAGCAAAAACUUCUAUCAUGGUCCCGUACUUUCACUCAAAGGAGUUGGUGUUCCUGUAUAAGCAGACGUUAGCCCAGAGGCUCCAGACGCUUCAUCCCGGGUCUCCUCAGGCCUGAUUCAAAAUCUUUCCUUACUCUACUAGCAUGAAUCUGUUUUCAGGUUCUCACAUGGUCCUAGUGGUCCAAAGCAAGAAGGACAGGAACCACAUUCUUUAAUUUAACUUGAGAGCUUGCAGUUUUGCACUGAAAAUAGAUAAGUAUUAGCUAUUACAGAACACUUUGGUUUGCCUUGACAGUCAAAGGGUUGGCUUCAAAUGUGUCAAAAUCUAGUUCGAAGUCACAGCCUCUGUUCUGCAGUGUGGCUGUUCAAGCUUUUCAUUAUUCUUUUUCUCUUGAGGCUCGAGGGUGAGAAGAUGAAGUUUGAUCCAACUUCCUAGGUUUAUCGUCUUAUUCCUUCCUUUUAGGAUAAAGGGUCAUACUAGGGAAGUUCUACAUCAUUUCAUAUUUGGAUCGACAGAUUUUUAAUGCCUUCCAUUUAAUCCUUUGUAAUGAUCCAACAGAAUCUGUGAACCAGUCCUUAAAUAAUCCAACAAUGGUACCACGUCAGUUUUUUUUCGAAAAUAAAAAAAAUUCUGGUUGUUCUAGAAAGGAGCUUGUACAAGCUCAUUGUAGGGUUUCUAUAGACCUGAAACAUUAAAGAUAUCACAUAUAA